CCCCUUUGGGCCUGCAACAUCAUCUCCUCCUUCCUGUUUCUGCAGUUCUUAUGAGGAACAAGCAAGGUACUGGUGUGACUGUGACAUAGCUCCUUAGCCCUGCUUGUGGGAAUGUACUGUAGAAGGAACACAGGAAUGAAAGCAGAGGUUGAGAAGGCAUCCGCGAUGCGUCAGGCUGGAGGGAGAAUGUGAGAGUUAUGACUGCAUGCUGUGAGCUUUCAGCCGCCGCAU
rnacentral:lncRNA from 1 species